rnacentral:misc_RNA from 1 species
CGCACCUUGCGCCCCUUGGUAUUCCGAGGGGCAUGCCUGUUUGAGUGUCUUGAAAUCAUCAAACCGAACCGGUCUUUGUUGCCGGCGCGGUUUGGACUUGGGGGCUCUGCUGCCGCGAGGCGGCUCCCCUUAAAUUGAUCGGUCGGGCUUUCGUGCGGCUCUGUCCCUUGGCGUUGUAUUACCCUCGUCUUGGACGGCUCGCGAUUCAAUGGCCCUUCUUCGACCUGCCUCUGGAGUGGCGGUCUUCAACUUUUGUGAUCUGACCUCAAAUCAGGUAGGACUACCCGCUGAACUUAA